rnacentral:misc_RNA from 1 species
AAAGUGUGGUAAUUUGGCGUCUGUUUCAGCAACUAUUCUUCAAGGUGUAAGAGAAACAUGUGGACAAGGAUUAUGUUUUGAAGAAAGAACUUAUAGUGAAGUAGUAAGUGGGUUUCUUCAAAAUGGGAGCAUAAAAGAUUUAGCUAUGUUGAUCAGUGAAACUCAGACCUUGGAAUCUCCAUCUGUGAUUGUUGAGAGAUCCGUUGGAUAUGGCAUCAUAAAUGCUUGCGUUAAUCUUGGGUUAUUGGACAAGGCACACACGAUAUUUGAUGAAAUGAAU